GACGAACGCUGGCGGCGUGCCUAAUACAUGCAAGUCGAACGCAGUGGGGACGGGUGAGUAACACGUGGGUAACCUCCCAUCAGAGGGGAUAACACUUGGAAACAGGUGCUAAACCGAUACUGAUUGAUGGACCCGCGGUGCAUUAGCUAGUUGGUGAGGUAACGGCUCACCAAGGCCACGAUGCAUAGCCGAGUUGGGAGGGUGGACGGGCACACUGGGAAUGAGACACGGGCCAGACUCCUACGGGAGGGAGCAGUAGGGAAUUUUCGGCAAUGGACGAAAGCCUGACCGAGCAACGCCGCGUGGGUGAAGAAGGGUUUCGGAUCGUAAAACUCUGUUGUUAGGGAAGCGGUAUCUAACCAGAAAGCCACGGCUAACUACGUGCCAGCAGCCGCGGUAAUAC
rnacentral:rRNA from 1 species